rnacentral:rRNA from 1 species
GGCUGUCGUCAGCUCGUGUCGUGAGAUGUUGGGUUAAGUCCCGCAACGAGCGCAACCCACGUCUUUAGUUGCCAGCAUUUAGUUGGGCACUCUAGAGAGACCGCCGGUGACAAACCGGAGGAAGGUGUGGAUGACGUCAAGUCAUCAUGCCCCUUACGUCCUGGGCUACACACGUACUACAAUGCUACGGACAAAGGGCAGCAAACUCGCGAGAGCUAGCAAAUCCCAUAAACCGUGGCUCAGUUCAGAUCGUAGGCUGCAACUCGCCUACGUGAAGGAGGAAUCGCUAGUAAUCGCAGGUCAGCAUACUGCGGUGAAUACGUUCCCGGGCCUUGUACACACCGCCCGUCACACCAUGGAAGUUGGCCAUGCCCGAAGUCGUUACUUCAACCCGCAAGGGAGGAGGAUGCCGAAGGUGGGGCUGAUGACUGGGGUGAAGUCGUAACAAGGUAGCCGUACCGGAAGGUGCGGCUGGAUCACCUCCUAA